GAUCACCUAUCCUCCUUGACUACUCGGGUGUGUUCUUUCCUCUCUCUUCUCUCUCUUAUUUUAUGUUUGUUUCUUUCAUUGAGGACAAUGCAUAUUUUAAGUGUGGGGGAGGGAAUACUUUAGUUUCUUUGUUUUUGUUCUUUGUUUUGUUUUGUUUUUGUUUUCUUUCUAAAAAAAUUGCAUCUUCUUGAAAGUUUUAGGCUAUAGAUUACUUUGAGUCGAGUUUGCGGAGACUUGAGAAAAAUUCACAAGAUCGGUAUUGUUUUAACACCGUAAGUCUCCUGCAUAUGGAAAUUGAGUUGAAUUUUUAUUAUGUUUUAGCCUUAAAUUCUCAUUCUCUGACAGCUCUUGAGUAGUUUAUUUCAGCAGUCAGCACCAUCUCACACACACUCUACGCAGGGAAGCCGAUGAAUAUAAGUGAGUGUUCCGAAAAAGAAAAAAAAGAGAAAAAAAUAAAGGAAUGCACCUUCUAAGUUUGGUGACCCUCACCCGGUCACUUAACUCAACGGUUGUAGAACCUUCAAAAAAAAAAGUUUUUGACUCGUUGUUAGUUGGUUCAGCGGUUUCUGGUGCUGAACUUGGUAGGGCGGAUUACGGUCCGAUCCCCCGCAACUACAAGUGAGUAAGCAAAGGGUUAUGCCACUUAAGUACCAGAACCCCGUGCAGAAAAGGAUCGGAGUCACUAACCGGUCACCUUGCUAUGAGUGUGUGGAGACAACGGGCUUAAUGUGAUUGCGCCUGAAUGAAAAAGAGCCAAAGAAGGAUGAGUAAGUU
rnacentral:lncRNA from 1 species